GACAGAGGUGCCGAGCGUUAGGCGGAAUCACUGGGCUUAAAGCGUGUGUAGGUGGAUGUCUAAGUACCUUGUGAAAUCCCACGGCUUAACCGUGGAACUGCUCGGUAUACUGGAUGUCUUGAGCCAGCUAGGGGCUACCGAAGCAAAUGGUGGAGCGGUGAAAUGCGUAGAUAUUGGGAGGAACACCAGUGGCGAAGGCGGCUCACUGGACCGGAACUGACGCUGAGGCGCGAAAGCGUGGGGAGCAAACAGG
rnacentral:rRNA from 1 species